rnacentral:rRNA from 1 species
AUUGAACGCUGGCGGCAUGCCUUACACAUGCAAGUCGAACGGCAGCACGGGAGCAAUCCUUGUGGCAAGUUGCGGACGGGUGAGUAAUACAUCGGAACGUGCCCAAUCUUUGGGGAUAACGCAGCUAAAGCUGUCCUAAUACCGCAUACGAUCUACUUAUGAAACCAGUGGACCGCAAGUCCUUGCGCGAAUUGAGCGCCCGAUGGUAGAUUAGGUAGUUGGUUUGGUAAAGGCUUACCAAGCCAACGAUCUGUAGCUGGUCUGAGAGGACGACCAGCCACACUGGGACUGAGACACGGCCCAGACUCCUACGGGAGGCAGCAGUGGGGAAUUUUGGGCAAUGGGCGCAAGCCUGAUCGAGCCAUGCCGCGUGAAGGAUGAAGGUCUUCGGGUUGUAAACUGCUUUUGUACGGAAAGAAAAUGUCUUUUAUAAUAAAGAGGGCUAAUGACGGUACCGUAAGAAUAAGCACCGGCUAACUACGUG